rnacentral:rRNA from 1 species
GAUGAACGCUGGCGGCGUGCCUAAUACAUGCCAGUCGAGCGAACAGACGAGGUGCUUGCUCCUCUGACGUUAGCGGCGGACGGGUGAGUAACACGUGGAUAACCUACCUAUAAGACUGGGAUAACUUCGGGAAACCGGAGCUAAUACCGGAUAAUAUAUUUAACCGCAUGGUUCAAUAGUGAAAGACGGUUUUGCUGUCACUUAUAGAUGGAUCCGCGCCGCGUUAGCUAGUUGGUAAGGUAACGGCUUACCAAGGCAACGAUGCGUAGCCGACCUGAGAGGGUGAUCGGCCACACUGGAACGGAGACAGGGUCCAGACUCCUACGGGAGGCAGCAGUAGGGAAUCUUCCGCAAUGGGCGAAAGCCUGACGGAGCAACGCCGCGUGAGUGAUGAAGGUCUUCGGAUCGUAAAACUCUGUUAUUAGGGAAGAACAAAUGUGUAAGUAACUAUGCACGUCUUGACGGUACCUAAUCAGAAAGCCACGGCUAACUACGUG